GAAAGAGAAAUCGGUGAGAGAUGGAUCCGCGUCCGAUUAGCUAGUUGGAGGGGUAACAGCCCACCAAGGCGACGAUCGGUAGCCGACCUGAGAGGGUGGACGGCCACAUUGGGACUGAGACACGGCCCAAACUCCUACGGGAGGCAGCAGUGGGGAAUAUUGCACAAUGGGGGAAACCCUGAUGCAGCAACGCCGCGUGAGUGAGGAAGUAUUUCGGUAUGUAAAGCUCUAUCAGCAGGGAAUAGAAAAGAAGGUACCUGAAAAAGAAGCCCCGGCUAACUACGUGCCAGCAGCCGCGGUAAUACGUAGGGGGCAAGCGUUAUCCGGAUUUACUGGGUGUAAAGGGAGCGUAGACGGAAAGGCAAGUCAGAAGUGAAAACCCAAGGCUCAACCAUGGGACUGCUUUUGAAACUGUCAAACUAGAGUACGGGAGAGGUAAGAGGAAUUCCUAGUGUAGCGGUGAAAUGCGUAGAUAUUAGGAGGAACACCAGUGGCGAAGGCGUCUUACUGGACCGAAACUGACGUUGAGGCUCGAAAGCGUGGGGAGCAAACAGGAUUAGAUACCCUGGUAGUCCACGCGGUAAACGAUGAAUACUAGGUGUUGGGG
rnacentral:rRNA from 1 species